ACGAAGGGUGCAAGCGUUAAUCGGAAUUACUGGGCGUAAAGCGCGCGUAGGCGGUUUGAUAAGUGAGAUGUGAAAGCCCCGGGCUCAACCUGGGAACUGCAUCUCAUACUGUCAGGCUAGAGUACGGUAGAGGGGGGUAGAAUUCCACGUGUAGCGGUGAAAUGCGUAGAGAUGUGGAGGAAUACCAGUGGCGAAGGCGGCCCCCUGGAUCGAUACUGACGCUGAGGUGCGAAAGCGUGGGGAGCAAACAGG
rnacentral:rRNA from 1 species